UUGUUAAGAUUAAUUUAAUUUAAUUUUUAAUUUAUGUUAUAAUUUUAUAGAAAUAACUUUAUUUUUAGUAUUUUUUAGAGAAUAAAUAUUUUUAUAUUAAUAGUUUAUUUUACUGUAAAGGUUUAUUAUUAUUAUUAUUAAAGUAAAAUUUGUUUUUUGUACCUUUUGUAUCAGGGUUUAUUAAUUUAUUUUUAAUUAUAUUUAAAUUUCCCGAAUUUAAAGGAGAUAUCUCUAAAAUUGUUAUUUAAUGUGUUAUAAUUAUUAAUAAAUUAGGGAUAGAUGUUAUAUGCUAUUCAUCUUUAAAUAUCUGGUUUCUUAAUAAUUGAAUUUAAUUCAGAAUUAAUAUUGUUUAUCAAAUACUUACAUUUUUUUUAAUGUAUAUUAAUUUAAAAUUAAAGGGGAUAAGCUCUUUAAUUUUUCUAUAACUUUUAAUUAAAUUGGAAUAUUUGUAGGAUUAGAAAUUUUCAUCAUUUAUUUUGUUAUAAUUAUUGUUCUUUAUUUGUUUAUUUAUUUAUUGUUUAGUUAUUUAUUAAGAAUUAUUGUUUAAUUUAAAAUCAUUAGUUAUAAUGAUAGAAUUAGUAGUUUUGUUAUUUGACAUAUAGUAACUCGGCAAAUAUAUUCUUCACCUGUUUAACAAAAACAUGUCUUGAUGGAUUAUUGUUUAUAUUAAGUCUGACCUGCUCAAUGAUUUUAAAUUAAAUAGCCGCAGUAUUUUGACUGUGCGAAGGUAGCAUAAUCAUUUGUCUUUUAAUUGAAGGCUUGUAUGAAUGGUUGGAUGAAGGAAUUACUUUCUUUAUGUUAAUGAUUGAAUUUAAUUUUUUAGUUAAAAAGCUUAAAUUUAUAAAUGGGACGAGAAGACCCUAUAGAAUUUUAUUUUUAUUGUAUUAUUUUAAUUUUUGGUUAAUUUUAUUAAUUUUUUUUAUUAAGAAUUUUGUUGGGGUGACAGUGAGAUUUUAUUAACUCUCAUAAACUUAUUAUUAUUUAUUUGUAUAUUAAAGAUCCUUAUUUUUGGAUAUUUAGAUUAAAUUACCUUAGGGAUAACAGCGUAAUUUUUUUGGAGAGUUCUUAUCGAUGAAAAAGUUUGCGACCUCGAUGUUGGAUUAAAAUUAGAUUUAAGUGCAGAAGCUUAAUUUCUAGGUCUGUUCGACCUUUAAAUUUUUACAUGAUCUGAGUUCAGACCGGCGUGAGCCAGGUCGGUUUCUAUCUUUUUAUUAUUAAAUUGUAGAUUAGUACGAAAGGACCAUUUACAACAAAUAAUUUGUUUUAUUUGAAUAUUUUUA
rnacentral:rRNA from 1 species